CACUUGAACAGUGCUAUAAAAAUGGGAUUGGAGGGGAGAUGCGUUUACACGACAAAGUACAACAAACAAAAGCUGUUGCCCAAAAUGAAAGCGUUUCUUAUAGUUUGCAUUCUCUUGCUGGUUUCCACUCUUCUUAUUUCCACUACUCCCACCUCAGCUCGAGCACUGGUUGCCCAUAAGAAAAAUAGCUACCCAAGGCCAAAGCCAGGACCAAGUCCAACGGAGCCAAGGCCAUCGCCAAGUCCCAAGUGUAAAAAGCAUAAAAAGGGUAAAUGCAAAGGACGGCGUUGAUCAGAUCCAACCGAGAAAACUGAUUAUGGCCGAUGAUUGCUAUCCUCUUAAUCAUCUUCAGCCUAGCUGCCUUUCUAUAGUGUGUGAACUGUAUUGGGAAAUAAAUUGUGAUAAUUGGUAAAUUGUGAGUUUGCAUAUCUCCAUUUCAAACCUAUAAUAAUUAAAUAAUGAUGGAGAACUUUCUUAUGCUCUUGUACAAGACUGAACAUCAUCAUUCUCUAACAUCUUAGUUUACAUCACA